ACCUCAUUCUCCCGUGUUAUUCUUUCCCUAGUAACAAAUUGUAUUUUGUGUAUUAGAACAUGUUGUUGUACAAUAGACUCUCUGAAAAUUUUCCAGUUUCUAGUUUACCAAAUAAAGUAUACCAGAGCUCUAGGUAUUGUAGCCACCAUCUCCUUCUUGAAACUGCACCCAUGUCGCUAUUUUAUACACUUUAAACUUUCAUUUACUGCAGCUGGUGGCAUUUGCAAUCCCAGUCAUAUCAUCACAUCCCUCCACACUGCAACUGUCCAUUCACAGGUCACAAAGAGGUGGCUGGCAUCUUCAAUAUGCUGUUGUUCACAUAAAACUCACCAAGCAUUGUCACAAUGUAAGCCCAUAUUCAACAUCCUGCCUUUAGUGAGCAGCCUUUGCUGAUUUGACAACCACAAUAUAAACCUAUGUUUGGGUUUAGUAACUUUGACCAGAUGAGUUCAGUUGCAACAAGAUUUUCCCCAGUCUCCAACAUAGUAAUAUAACUCUUAGACUGAUAGAGUAUUUUCCAGAGGAGGUUAGUACAUAUCUGUCACUUCUAUACCAACCAAUCAUGCCCAACUUCAUUUUAUUCAAUUUCUUCCAAUACCAACUACUAUUUGUAGGCGGUAUAUGACCCAGAAUUGUUGUAGUUUUAUUUUGGGUGUUUUUUGGGUUUCUUCUUAUUUGUUCAAUUUUAUCCAUCUAAAUAUUAAAUAGAAUUUUUGGAUUAAUACAAUAAUUUUAUGGAUAUUCUUUUGCGAUAAAUUUUCCUUUACAUGUUGCAAUGAGUGAGUUGUUGGGUUAAUGCUUUGCCAAUCACCAGUUUGACAGAAUGUACACUCAGAAUUCAUGGUAUUCCAUGGUCUUUUUAAUGUUAACCCAGGAUAAGUCACAAACUUAGCUUUUGUCAGUUCCAAAGCGAUGGUGAGUUGUUUAGAAUGGACAUAUCAAGAUUUUGGUCAAGUUUUGGUUCAGCUUUUUGGCCUCAUUUGAUGCAGUUAUCACCGCUGUUUUGCUGCUGGUUUUGCUCUAGUUUUGUUCAUGUUUUUGCUGCUAUUUCAGUGCAGUUUUUGGUGUAUUUUUGGUCCAGUUUUUAUCUAGUUUUGAUGCAGUUAUUCUCCUUCAAGCACAAGUCUUCUGUUUCCUAUUGUCUAAUUAUUAGUUGAACAUCACAAUGUUCAAAUCAACUUUCUAGAAAACAAUUUUAAAUCCUACUAACAUUUAUAGGAGAUUAUUGACUUGUAAUGAGGUACAUGUUCCUUAUUUGGUUAAAGCAAAACCUUCAAAUAUUGCACAAAAUCCUUUGAUAAGGAAACGAUGACAUCUUUAUCUUUUCUGUUUUGUUAGAAAAUAAUUAUCGGAAAAUUAAUUUAAGAUUCACAUUUUACCAAGCUUAAUAAUGUGAAUUCAUACUAUAGGGACUUUGGGUAUAAGUAUUCUCACACGGGUUUGUUUUGGUGCCCUUUGAAGGAUCAAUAAAGUGUUCAUACCUCUAGCAUAUUUUUUUCACAGAAGUACAUUAAGAAAAAUGAUGAGCCACAUAGAUAUAAAAUUAUCGACAGAUAUUUUUAACUUUUUCAUCCUUAGCUAUCAUAAUAGGCAUCUGAUGGUGUUAGCAUAGUUUUCUUACCUGUACCUGUUCCAUUUCUAAUUCUUGUAAUGCUUUGGAUAACCUAUUUUAUUUUUGUUUUUGUAAAUUUGUAACAAAUUCAUAUCGUCAUGAGUCAAGUAGAGCCUUUAAGAAGAAACAAAAAAGUGAAAAGCAAGAAACUCAUUAAUGCUGGACUACUGAAAUAUUUGGCGGACAGAAAGUUUUUGUCAUUGACAAUGAAAAAUAGGGUACCAGCUAUAAGGUCAAAUGAAGAGCAUCAACUAAAUUCAAGUGAAGAACAACAGAGCCCAAGUUUAGGAGCCCAUAUGCAAAGAGAAUGCGGCAAGAAAUAGAGGACUUCAUAGCACAAAUUCAGCGUCAGAAACUAGGUUUACAACUUGAUCUUAACAUGCAGAAAGCAUUUUGUGCUCGUUUACUGGGGGAAGCUGGCUCUGCACCACAAACAGCCAUCCAACCAAUGCAUCGCUCUUCUGUCAGUAGCAACCAUCAAGGUCAGGACUUUACUCUAAUUCUUGUUGAGAUUAGGAUUACUUGUGCUGCUUUGAGAAUGUAGUGUACAUUAGCAUUACUUCAAUUUAUACUCUAAUUAUUGUUGAUAGUUUCUUUCAUCUUCAUCUGUCUUGUCUAUCUUAAUAUCUUCAUUUCUAUCCAACAUCUUAGUGAAAGUCAACUAA